AACGAACGCUGGCGGCAUGCCUAACACAUGCAAGUCGAACGAGACCUUCGGGUCUAGUGGCGCACGGGUGCGUAACGCGUGGGAAUCUGCCCUUUGCUUCGGAAUAACAGUUAGAAAUGACUGCUAAUACCGGAUGAUGUCUUCGGACCAAAGAUUUAUCGGCAAAGGAUGAGCCCGCGUAGGAUUAGGUAGUUGGUGGGGUAAAGGCCUACCAAGCCGACGAUCCUUAGCUGGUCUGAGAGGAUGAUCAGCCACACUGGGACUGAGACACGGCCCAGACUCCUACGGGAGGCAGCAGUGGGAAUAUUGGACAAUGGGCGCAAGCCUGAUCCAGCAAUGCCGCGUGAGUGAUGAAGGCCUCGGUCGUAAAGCUCUUUACCAGGGAUGAUAAUGACAGUACCUGGAGAAUAAG
rnacentral:rRNA from 1 species